UACGUAGGGUGCGAGCGUUAUUCGGAAUUACUGGGCGUAAAGCGUGCGCAGGCGGUUUUGUAUGACAGAUUUGAAAUCCCCGGGCUUAACCUGGGAACUGCAUUUGUGACUGCAUCGCUGGAGUGCGGCAGAGGGGGAUGGAAUUCCGCGUGUAGCAGUGAAAUGCGUAGAUAUGCGGAGGAACGCCGAUGGCGAAGGCAAUCCCCUGGGCCUGCACUGACGCUCAUGCACGAAAGCGUGGGGAGCAAACAGG
rnacentral:rRNA from 1 species